GACGAACGCUGGCGGCGUGCCUAAUACAUGCAAGUAGAACGCUGAAGCUUGGUGCUUGCACCGAGCGGAUGAGUUGCGAACGGGUGAGUAACGCGUAGGUAACCUGCCUGGUAGCGGGGGAUAACUAUUGGAAACGAUAGCUAAUACCGCAUAAGAGUAGAUGUUGCAUGACAUUUGCUUAAAAGGUGCAAUUGCAUCACUACCAGAUGGACCUGCGUUGUAUUAGCUAGUUGGUGAGGUAACGGCUCACCAAGGCAACGAUACAUAGCCGACCUGAGAGGGUGAUCGGCCACACUGGGACUGAGACACGGCCCAGACUCCUACGGGAGGCAGCAGUAGGGAAUCUUCGGCAAUGGACGGAAGUCUGACCGAGCAACGCCGCGGGAGUGAAGAAGGGUUUCGGAUCGUAAAGCUCUGUUGUAAGAGAAGAACGAGUGUGAGAGUGGAAAGUUCACACUGUGACGGUAGCUUACCAGAAAGGGACGGCUAACUACGUG
rnacentral:rRNA from 1 species